rnacentral:rRNA from 1 species
UAAGACGGAGGGUGCGAGCGUUGUCCGGAUUUACUGGGCGUAAAGGGCGCGUAGGCGGUUUGAUCAGUCGGGUGUGAAAGGCGUGGGCUUAUCCUGCGUAAGCAUUCGAGACGGUCGGACUGGAGGGUGGUCGAGGGAGACAGAAUGCCGGGUGUAGUGGUGAAAUGCGUAGAGAUCCGGCGGAAUACCGGUGGCGAAGGCGGUCUUCUGGGCCACAACUGACGCUGAGGCGCGAGAGCGUGGGGAGCGAACCGGAUUAGAUACCCGGGUAGUCCACGCCGUAAACGGUGGGCACCAGGUGUGGGGGGUAUCGACCCCUCCCGCGCCGACGCAAACGCAAUGAGUGCCCCGCCUGGGGAGUACGGCCGCAAGGCUA